rnacentral:rRNA from 1 species
UACGUAGGUGGCAAGCGUUAUCCGGAAUUACUGGGCGUAAAGCGCACGCAGGCGGUCUUUUAAGUUUGACGUGAAAGCUCCCGGCUUAACUGGGAGAGGUCGUUGAAUACUGGAAGACUUGAGGCAAUGAGAGGGGUGUAGAAUUCCCGGUGUAGUGGUGGAAUGCGUAGAUAUCGGGGGGAAUACCAGUGGCGAAAGCGGCUCUCUGGACAGGUUCUGACGCUGAGACGCGAAAGCGUGGGUAGCAAACAGG